rnacentral:rRNA from 1 species
AUUGAACGCUGGCGGCAGGCCUAACACAUGCAAGUCGAACGAGUGGCGGACGGGUGAGUAAUGUCUGGGAAACUGCCCGAUGGAGGGGGGUAACUACUGGAAACGGUAGCUAAUACCGCAUACCAUCGGAUGUGCCCAGAUGGGAUUAGCGAGUAGGUGGGGUAACGGCUCACCUAGGCGACGAUCCCUAGCUGGUGUGAGAGGAUGACCAGCCACACUGGAACUGAGACAGGGUCCAGCAUCCUACGGGAGGCAGCAGUGGGGAAGAUUGCACAGUGGGCGCAAGCCAGAUGCAGCCAUGCCGCGUGUAUGAAGACGGCCUUCGGGUUGUAAAGUACUUUCAGCGAGGAGGCGUUACUCGCAGAAGAAGCACCGGCUAACUCCGUGCCAGCAGCCGCGGUAAUUC